rnacentral:rRNA from 1 species
AGUGAACGCUGGCGGUAGGCCUAACACAUGCAAGUCGAACGGCAGCACAGUAAGAGCUUGCUCUUAUGGGUGGCGAGUGGCGUACGGGUGAGGUAUACAUCGGAAUCUACUUUUUCGUGGGGGAUAACGAAGGGAAACUUAAGCUAAUACAGCAUACGACCUACGGGUGAAAGCAGGGGAUCUUCGGACCUUGCGCGAUUGAAUGAGCCGAUGUCGGAUUAGCUAGUUGGCGGGGUAAAGGCCCACCAAGGCGGCGAUCUGUAGCUGGUCUGAGAGGAUGGUCGGCCACACUGGAAGUGGAACACGGUCCAGGCUCCUACGGGAGGCAGCAGUGGGGAAUAGUGGACAAUGGGCGGAAGCCUGGUCCAGCCAUACCGAGUGGGUGAAGGAGGCCUUCGGGUUGUAAAGCCCUUUUGUUGGGAAAGAAAAGCAGCAGGUUAAUACCCCGCUGUUCUGACGGUACCCAAUGAAUAAGCACCGGCUAACUUCGUG